rnacentral:rRNA from 1 species
GACGAACGCUGGCGGCGUGUUUAACACAUGCAAGUCGAACGGAAAGGCCUGCUUUCCCUUGUGGAUUGCGGGUACUCGCGUGGCGAACGGGUGAGUAACACGUGAGUGAUCUGCCCCCAACUUUGGUAUAAGCCUGGGAAACUGGGUCUAAUUCCCGAUAGGACUGCAGGGUGGUGCCUGUGGUGGAAAACGAUUUUCUAGUGGUUGGGGAUGAGCUCGCGGCCUAUCAGCUUGUUGGUGUGGUAAUGGCCUACCAAGGCGGGGACAGGUAGGCUGCCUGGGAGGGUGGACGGGAACAGUGGGACUGAGACACGGCGCAGGAGCCUACGGGAGGCAGCAGUGGGGAAGAAGGCACGAGGGGCGGAAGCCUGAUGCAGCGACGCUGAGUGAGGGAUGACGGCCUUCGGGUGGUAAACUCCUUUCGACCGAGCGGAAGCCACUUGGAUGGAAGGGUGGUGACGGUAGUGGUAGAAGAAGCACCGGCUAACUACGUG